rnacentral:rRNA from 1 species
CAGCCCGCUCCCGGUAAAACGGGACGGCCCGCCAGAGGACCCCUAAACUCUGUUUCUAUAUGUAACUUCUGAGUAAAACCAUAAAUAAAUCAAAACUUUCAACAACGGAUCUCUUGGUUCUGGCAUCGAUGAAGAACGCAGCAAAAUGCGAUAAGUAAUGUGAAUUGCAGAAUUCAGUGAAUCAUCGAAUCUUUGAACGCACAUUGCGCCCGCCAGUAUUCUGGCGGCAUGCCUGUUCGAGCGUCAUUUCAACCCUCAAGCACAGCUUGGUGUUGGGACUCGCGUUAAUUCGCGUUCCCCAAAUUGAUUGGCGGUCACGUCGAGCUUCCAUAGCGUAGUAGUAAAACCCUCGUUACUGGUAAUCGUCGCGGCCACGCGGUUAAACCCCAACUUCUGAAUGUUGACCUCGGAUCAGGUAGGAAUACCCGCUGAACUUAAG